AGCAUGGAGCCUAUUUAAAAAAAGAAGAAGAAGAAUCCUUGGGACAAUGGUUAUGAAAACUGAGGCACAAAGGGAUUAAAUAAUUUAUUCAAGAAUGCAUUUAGUGGUGAAGCCAAGGUUCAGAUGAAUAGAACCCCAGAGCCCAUACUUCUCUCACCACUACUACAUAAGUCACAACUACAUAAGUUGUGGUUUGCUAGACAAGGAGCUCCUGGAUGGCAACCAUCCCCAGAUGCUCCAUCUUUGCAUCUCCCAAGUACCUACUGCCAUGCAUUGCACUUUAAAGAAGCUCAGUGAAAAGAGGCAUAGACUUGGUCAGAUGUGCCCUUUUCUUUCAACAGUAGGUGGAGAUUCUAAGAGAUAUUGAAGAGCUAGAAGGAAUAGCUUGCUUGACCCAUGCAGACAAGAAGCACUAAUGUUUUCACUUGGUUUGCUCUCUAGUGGGUACCUAUUAAAAACUCAAUAUUUUAGAAGAUGCCAGAGAAGUAAAGACAUGGCCCUUGACUUCAAAGAGCGUCUUUCUACUUGGAAAGAGGAGACCUACCUCCUGAGAACAAUCAACAAAUACAAUAAAACCAUAAAUACUCUGACAUUAAAAUGCACAGUGUUCACUCCAUAUAUAUGGUUGUAUCUUAUAUAUUACGUAGUAGCCAUACUUCUUGGACAGUACAGAAAUAAGUAUGUUUUGCUUACCACUUACCCCAGGCCUAGCACACCACUGCCCCUGGCACUUAAUAAGCAAUGAUAAACACCACU